GAAGUCGGUCGGACAGUCGCCGGUGAUCGCAAGAUCACGGGAGGAAGGUCCGGGCUCCACAGAGCAGGGUAGCGGCUAAUGACCGUCCGCUGAAACGGUGUGAGGGCGAAAGCCACACGCCCAUAAGGCGAGGACUAGGGCCACAGAGACGAGCGUAUUUAGUUACGGUGAAACGCGGCAACCUCUACCCGGAGCAAUACCAAAUAGGCACACGCCGCUGGCGGGAAACCGCUGGCCAGAAGGCGGCUCGUUGGAGUGUGCGGGUAGGUAGCUUGAGCCGCGCAGUAAUGCACGGCCUAGAGGAAUGACUGUCACGCACGGCAACGUGCGAACAGAACCCGGCCUAUAGACCGACUUCAACA
rnacentral:RNase_P_RNA from 1 species